GACGAACGCUGGCGGCGUGCUUAACACAUGCAAGUCGAACGAAGUGGCGAACGGGUGAGUAAUACGUGAGUAACCUUCCCUCCUUUUUGGGAUAAGCCUUGGAAACGGGGUCUAAUACCGCAUAAAGGGGGAUGGGCGCGCGGCCUAUCAGCUUGUUGGUGGGGUGAUGGCCUACCAAGGCGGUGACGGGUAGCCGGCCUGAGAGGGUGAACGGGCACAUGGGGCCUGGGAUACGGCCCAGAGUCAUACGGGAGGGAGCAGUGGGGGAGAUUGGACAAAGGGCGAAAGCCGGCUGCAGCGGCGCAGCGUGGGGGAUUAAGGCUUUUGGGGUGCAAACCGCGGUCGCGAGCGAACGGGUAGGUGGAGAAGAAGCGCCGGCUAACUACGUGCCAGCAGCCGCGGUAAUAC
rnacentral:rRNA from 1 species